rnacentral:rRNA from 1 species
UACGAAGGGGGCUAGCGUUGCUCGGAAUCACUGGGCGUAAAGGGCGCGUAGGCGGAUUUCUAAGUCGGGGUGAAAGCCUGUGGCUCAACCACAGAAUUGCCUUCGAUACUGGAAUCUAGAGACCGGAAGAGGUAAGUGGAACUGCGAGUGUAGAGGUGAAAUUCGUAGAUAUUCGCAAGAACACCAGUGGCGAAGGCGGCUUACUGGUCCGGUUCUGACGCUGAGGCGCGAAAGCGUGGGGAGCAAACAGG